rnacentral:rRNA from 1 species
GACGAACGCUGGCGGCGUGCUUAACACAUGCAAGUCGAACGGAAAGGCCCUGCUUUUGUGGGGUGCUCGAGUGGCGAACGGGUGAGUAACACGUGAGUAACCUGCCCUUGACUUUGGGAUAACUUCAGGAAACUGGGGCUAAUACCGGAUAGGAGCUCCUGCUGCAUGGUGGGGGUUGGAAAGUUUCGGCGGUUGGGGAUGGACUCGCGGCUUAUCAGCUUGUUGGUGGGGUAGUGGCUUACCAAGGCGUUGACGGGUAGCCGGCCUGAGAGGGUGACCGGCCACAUUGGGACUGAGAUGCGGCCCAGACUCCUACGGGAGGCAGCAGUGGGGAAUAUUGCACAAUGGGCGGAGGCCUGAUGCAGCAACGCCGCGUGCGGGAUGACGGCCUUCGGGUUGUAAACCGCUUUCGCCUGUGACGAAGCGUGAGUGACGGUAAUGGGUAAAGAAGCACCGGCUAACUACGUG